CACUCAACCAGACCCAGCCAAGCCAAGAGCUCAGUGGUGAUCCAGGCGUCGUGAGGGAUACACGCACGUCCCUGAGCUCCGGCAGACCAGUGUUCCACGCCCCUUUCCCUUGUCUGGGCCUCUCACUACCCAACACCCUCCUUCAGGACAUCCACGCCUCACACACACCCCUGGUCGCUCGUAUCCUGAAGGCCGUGGUCUGUGGCAAGUGUGUUUGUGCCUCGUCGCCUCGUCUGCGCCUUCGUCAGAACAGCGGCAGAGGAGGACGAGAGAAGUGGAAGAGGGAGAGGAGGAGGUGAGGAGGAAGAAUUCUGAAGUGUGACGAAAAUUUGGAAAAGAAAGUAAAAACGGAAGCGAGGAAGAAACAGUUAGUGAAAAAAAUUAAUAUGUAACUGACGAAAAUUGAGAAUAGUAAUGAAAAGUAGAUAGAACUUGGCGUAUGAAUUAAAAAAAGAAAGAAAGGAAAGAAAAAAAAACUGAGAUUCAUUAACGCACUGAACAAAACAUAAAAAAAAAAUACAGUAAACGCUAAAGAAAACGAAAAAAAAAAAAAAA